UACGUAGGUGGCAAGCGUUGUUCGGAAUUAUUGGGCGUAAAGGGCGCGUAGGCGGUCUUGUAAGUCAGCUGUGAAAGCCCGGGGCUCAACCCCGGAGGGUCGGCUGAUACUGCAGGACUGGAGUACGGAAGAGGUAGCUGGAAUUCCCGGUGUAGCGGUGAAAUGCGUAGAUAUCGGGAGGAAUACCGGUGGCGAAGGCGGCAUCCUGGACCGACAUUGACGCUGAUGAGCGAAAGCUAGGGGAGCAAACGGG
rnacentral:rRNA from 1 species